rnacentral:tRNA from 1 species
GUUAAUGUGGCAGAGUAUGGUUAUGCAAAAGGUCUAAACCCUUUGAACCGGGGUUCAAAUCCCCUCGUUAACU